UACAGAGGGGGCAAGCGUUGUUCGGAAUUACUGGGCGUAAAGGGCGCGUAGGCGGCCUUCUAAGUCGAACGUGAAAUCCCCGGGCUCAACCCGGGAACUGCGUCCGAUACUGGAAGGCUUGAAUCCGGGAGAGGGAUGCGGAAUUCCAGGUGUAGCGGUGAAAUGCGCAGAUAUCAGGAAGAACACCCGUGGCUAAGGCGGCUCUCUAGUACGGUACUGACGCUGAGACACGAAAGCGUGGGGAGCAAACAGG
rnacentral:rRNA from 1 species